UNGUACGGAACGAAAAACUCUUGUUAUACCAGGAGUCCAUGACUGUACCGUAAGAAUAAGCACCGGCUAACUACGUGCCAGCAGCCGCGGUAAUACGUAGGGUGCAAGCGUUAAUCGGAAUUACUGGGCGUAAAGCGUGCGCAGGCGGUUAUGUAAGACAGAUGUGAAAUCCCCGGGCUCAACCUGGGAACUGCAUUUGUGACUGCAUAGCUAGAGUACGGUAGAGGGGGAUGGAAUUCCGCGUGUAGCAGUGAAAUGCGUAGAUAUGCGGAGGAACACCGAUGGCGAAGGCAAUCCCCUGGACCUGUACUGACGCUCAUGCACGAAAGCGUGGGGAGCAAACAGGAUUAGAUACCCUGGUAGUCCACGCCCUAAACGAUGUCAACUGGUUGUUGGGUCUUCACUGACUCAGUAACGAAGCUAACGCGUGAAGUUGACCGCCUGGGGAGUACGGCCGCAAGGUUGGAACUCAAAGGAAUUGACGGGGACCCGCACAAGCG
rnacentral:rRNA from 1 species